UGGGGAAUAUUGCACAAUGGGCGCAAGCCUGAUGCAGCCAUGCCGCGUGUAUGAAGAAGGCCUUCGGGUUGUAAAGUACUUUCAGUCGGGAGGAAGGUGGUAAGGUUAAUAACCUUAUCAAUUGACGUUACCGACAGAAGAAGCACCGGCUAACUCCGUGCCAGCAGCCGCGGUAAUACGGAGGGUGCAAGCGUUAAUCGGAAUUACUGGGCGUAAAGCGCACGCAGGCGGUUGAUUGAGUCAGAUGUGAAAUCCCCGGGCUUAACCCGGGAAUUGCAUCUGAUACUGGUCAGCUAGAGUCUUGUAGAGGGGGGUAGAAUUCCAUGUGUAGCGGUGAAAUGCGUAGAGAUGUGGCGGAAUACCGGUGGCGAAGGCGGCCCCCUGGACAAAGACUGACGCUCAGGUGCGAAAGCGUGGGGAGCAAACAGG
rnacentral:rRNA from 1 species